rnacentral:lncRNA from 1 species
UUUAAAUUAUUUGCUGUGCUUAUAUAGAAUAGAAGAGGGCCCAAGAGAUUGAAAUUAAAGUGUAAAUUUGACCUUUUCACUUAUUAAGAAUAAUACAUUUUAGCUGAUAAAACUUCAGUGGGGAAUUUUCUAACGAUGCCUCGAUUGGAAGCUCCUAAUUUGCUGUCACGUGUUAGUUUUGCUUCCAUCCAAAAAUUAGCUGUAUAUUUUUUGAUAUCAAAAUUUUAAGAAAAGUUAAAUUCUAGAGCGAAAGAUAAUAAUUCUUGAAUAAAAACAAAACUAAAAUAUGACAGCGAAUCGGAAGCUUCUCAAGACAAUAUUACG